rnacentral:rRNA from 1 species
GACGAACGCUGGCGGCGUGCUUAACACAUGCAAGUCGAACGGAAAGGCCCUGCUUUUGUGGGGUGCUCGAGUGGCGAACGGGUGAGUAACACGUGAGUAACCUGCCCUUGACUUUGGGAUAACUUCAGGAAACUGGGGCUAAUACCGGAUAGGAGCUCCUGCUGCAUGGUGGGGGUUGGAAAGUUUCGGCGGUUGGGGCUGGACUCGCGGCUUAUCAGCUUGUUGGUGGGGUUGUGGGUUACCAAGGCUUUGACGGGUAGCCGGACUGGGGAGGUGACCGGCCACAUUGGGAAUGGGAUACGGCCCAGGAUUCUGAGGGAGGCAGCAGUGGGGAAUAUUGCAAAAUGGGCGGAAGCCUGAUGCAGCCACGCCGCGUGGGGGAAGAAGGGCUUCGGGUUGUAAACCGCUUUCGCCUGUGACGGAGCGUGAGUGACGGUAAUGGGUAAAGAAGCAACGGCUAACUACGUG